ensembl:misc_RNA Y_RNA Y RNA
GGCUGAUUGGAAGGUAGUGAAUUAUGUCAAUUGACUUCACAAUCAGUUACAGAUCGAACUCCUUGUUCUACUCUUUUCCCCCUCCUCACUACUGCACUUGACUAGUCUUUU